rnacentral:rRNA from 1 species
UCUACGGGAGGCAGCAGUGGGGAAUAUUGGGCAAUGGGCGCAAGCCUGACCCAGCAACGCCGCGUGAAGGAAGAAGGCUUUCGGGUUGUAAACUUCUUUUAAGAGGGAAGAGCAGAAGACGGUACCUCUUGAAUAAGCCACGGCUAACUACGUGCCAGCAGCCGCGGUAAUACGUAGGUGGCAAGCGUUGUCCGGAUUUACUGGGUGUAAAGGGCGUGCAGCCGGGAAGACAAGUCAGAUGUGAAAUCCCGCGGCUCAACCGCGGAACUGCGUGGCUAGAGUGCAGGAGGGGCAGGCGGAAUUCCUGGUGUAGCGGUGAAAUGCGUAGAUAUCAGGAGGAACACCGGUGGCGAAGGCGGCCUGCUGGACUGCAACUGACGUUGAGGCCCGAAAGCGUGGGGAGCAAACAGGAUUAGAUACCCCUGUAGUC